UUCCGGUUGAUCCUGCCGGACCUGACUGCUAUCGGAUUGAUACUAAGCCAUGCUAGUCUUUGCAGUAAUGCAAGGCAUACGGCUCAGUAACACGUAGUCAACUUACCCUAUGGACGAGGAUAAUCUCGGGAAACUGAGCAUAAUACUCGAUAGAUCAUAAUGCCUGGAAUGGUUUAUGGUUAAAAUGAUUCGUCGCCAUAGGAUGGGACUGCGGCCUAUCAGCUUGUUGGUGAGGUAAUGGCCCACCAAGGCGAUUACAGGUACGGGCUCUGAGAGGAGAAGCCCGGAGAUGGGUACUGAGACAAGGACCCAGGCCCUAUGGGGCGCAGCAGGCGAGAAAACUUUGCAAUGUGCGAAAGCACGACAAGGUUAGUCCGAGUGAUUUCUGCUAAAGAGAUCUUUUGCUAGUUAUAAAACCACUAGUGAAUAAGGGGUGGGCAAGUUCUGGUGUCAGCCGCCGCGGUAAAACCAGCACCUCAAGUGGUCAGGAUGAUUAUUGGGCCUAAAGCAUCCGUAGCCGGCUCUGUAAGUUUUCGGUUAAAUCUAUGCGCUCAACGUAUGGGCUGCCGAAAAUACUGUAGAGAUAGGGAGUGGGAGAGGUAGACGGUACUCGGUAGGAAGGGGUAAAAUCCUUUGAUCUAUCGAUGACCACCUGUGGCGAAGGCGGUCUACCAGAACACGUUCGACGGUGAGGGAUGAAAGCUGGGGGAGCAAACCGGAUUAGAUACCCGGGUAGUCCCAGCUGUAAACGAUGCAGACUCGAUGAUGCAUUGGCAUAUAGCCAGUGCAGUGUCGCAGGGAAGCCGUUAAGUCUGCCGCCUGGGAAGUACGUACGCAAGUAUGAAACUUAAAGGAAUUGGCGGGGGAGCACCACAAGGGGUGAAGCCUGCGGUUCAAUUGGAGUCAACGCCGG
rnacentral:rRNA from 1 species